GGAAGAGGGGCCAGGGGAUGAGAUGUGGCAGAAAAUACCCAUACUUUGAGCUGACGCCUAAACCGAGGCUCUGAUACUUGAAACUAACUUGAUUCAUUCAAUGGAUUCCACUCCUUAAAGGCCAGUGAAUCGUCUUGAAGACGGAUGCGACAGGAAGAAGUGGCAUUUAAAAGUCUUGCUGGCUUCGCAAACAACAACGCUCCUUCCCCAUACAGAUUAGAGAAAACCUGAUACAAAACUCUAUGAACUUAGCACCACUGAAAGAUUUACGCUACAAUACACAGCUUGAAUUGGGCGAAGGCCUCGUUCUGUCGCUUAACGAAAGGGGCGAUGAUUUAGCACCAGUAGCUUUU
rnacentral:lncRNA from 1 species